ACUACGGGAGGCAGCAGUGGGGAAUAUUGGGCAAUGGGCGCAAGCCUGACCCAGCAACGCCGCGUGAAGGAAGAAGGCUUUCGGGUUGUAAACUUCUUUUCUGAGGGACGAAGAAAGUGACGGUACCUCAGGAAUAAGCCACGGCUAACUACGUGCCAGCAGCCGCGGUAAUACGUAGGUGGCAAGCGUUAUCCGGAUUUAUUGGGUGGAAAGGGCGUGUAGGCGGGAAAGCAAGUCAGAUGUGAAAACUCAGGGCUCAACCCUGAGCCUGCAUUGGAAACUGUUUUUCUUGAGUGCUGGAGAGGCGAUCGGAAUUCCGUGUGUAGCGGUGAAAUGCGUAGAUAUACGGAGGAACACCAGUGGCGAAGGCGGAUUGCUGGACAGUAACUGACGCUGAGGCGCGAAAGCGUGGGGAGCAAACAGGAUUAGAUACCCCAGUAGUC
rnacentral:rRNA from 1 species